UGAUUAAAAAAUAGCACAGCGCAAGCCCGAUCCCAUCUGAUCUUGGGAACUAAGCAGGGUCGAGCUUGGUUAGUACUUGGAUGGGAGACCACCAAGGAAGACCAGGUGAUGUAGGCAU
ensembl:rRNA 5S_rRNA 5S ribosomal RNA